UCAAGGAUGCAGAUCUAUUCUUAUGGGAUAAAUUCCAGAUAUAGGGUUUGUAUGUAGAUCUGUUGUUUAUUCAACUUCUAUAGUUCUCUUAUUUGUUGAUUGUGGAGGUACUGGUUUUUUUUUUUGUAAGAAUGAUUGAUAAAUUUAUGAUGGCUAUUUCUCCUAUUACUUUGGUGUUAACAUUGUUUGAUUUUAUCUGUAGCCCAACUUGUUUUGCUUGCAGGAACUUACGAGAUCCCUAUCUUGUGGGGACACUGGCACCUGAGCUAGGAAGCUUUGUCGCAUUAGAUCUUUGUAAGCGAUAGACUCAUCAUAUUGAAUGCACUCAUAAUAAAAGUUUUAAACUACCAUUUGGAAACUGCUAGGUAAUGGCACAUAUCGGUGAUGAAUGACACACUACUCGAUACACAUUUGGAGCCUUGCCCCUAAUGCCUUUCUUUUAACAGUACUUUGGCCUUAGAGAGGAACAAGUGCACUCAUCAUCAUAUAAACCAAUGAUGGCCAUAAAUAUCUUAAGCCAAAUCUACAACCAGAACAUAUUGCACCUUGGUUGAAGGAGUAUACGGAUGGAAACAUAAAGACAUGUUUGUGAAAUCUGUGCCUAUUCCUGAAGUUAACAAUGACCAUGUCAAGAUUGUUGUUGCUAACAGCCUCCAUGAUGUGGUUUUCAACUCUGAAAAAAAUGGUUGGCAAGGGAAGAGAUGUUGGACUGAAUCAGAUUACUUUGUUUGAGGGGAAAGUGGCUGGUGGUAAUGGUGAACAAGUUAACUUAGUAGGGAUGUUUCUAGGCUUCUGUGUGCAGAUUCGUUUUGGGGUUCAUCUUUGGUUAUAUUUUAGGGAAGAAACUUCUUGGGUAUGGCUAAUUAUCUCAUUUCUUGAUCAUUCUGUGAAAAUCUUGCAAAAUUUCGGGAGUUCUUGUUUGUAUUUGUAAACUUCUAAUGGUUGGAUAAAAAUGUAACUGCAUGAAAACAUUCAAACCUGAAAUGUAUGUUCUUCUCAAAUAUUCCAUGUUUCUCUCUCUCAGAUGGUUGGAAAUUUUGGAUCCAAGUGAUUCUUCACGGACAUAUAUGAAAAAAAAAAGUUGAGAUCUACCAAGUGUACCAUCUAUUUUUACGAUCAUAUUGUUCUUUUAUCAUUUAUGAAAACUGUCCAUUUUGCAGGCCAUUGAUCAGAUGGUCAAGAUCAUCCAGUAAGCUUGGUUUAAUGUUAGUGAUCCAUGAAGAUGAUUAUUAUCCACGUGUCCAAUACAACCCAUUUGUA